AAAUUCUAAAUUUGGUUGCGAUGAACAACUUCUUUUUCUUUUAAGGGUUUUAUCGAUAUUAUCCAUUUUCUUAUUUGGAAUAAAUAAAGUUCGGUGGCGAUUAUGUUCAUAUUAUUUCCUAGAGCGCGUGAAUGCAUCGUGAAGGAUCGUAUUUUUUGAGAUGCGACAGCUGGGGACAUGCUCCUGUAAGAGAGAGGCAGUCCUAAUUUAGUUCAAUUUAUGAUGUUUGUUA
rnacentral:lncRNA from 1 species